GUGGCUCAGUUGAUUGAGCAUGGCGCUUUCAAUGCCAGAGUUAUGGGUUUGAUUCCCAGUC
rnacentral:tRNA from 1 species